GUGGUUACCUGCCAGGAGCCAUACCAGGAUCAAGAAGGUGGUUUUCCCAGGAUGAGGCUCCUCACUGUUCUCAGGGAGCGCUGACCUGCGAUUUCCCAAAAUGCAGAAAACCUGACUGCGUAAUUUGUGGUAGUGGGGGACGGCGUUUGUGUUCUCUCCUA